UUGUAUAUUGUAGAAGCAGGUGCCCUCCGGGGCUUAAUAGGGAAGACCGGUGAAGACGGAUGCUUGGCAUCCUUCGAGUCCGGCGCGGUCCCGCCGCUGUAACGGUGAGUUUUGUCUCCAUGAUGCCAUUAGGAUCAACAUCCUGAGAAGGCGAGGCAAAGCGAUGAACCGUAGCCAGAAGAACUGCCUGUUUAGCAAUCACCGAA
rnacentral:ncRNA from 19 species